rnacentral:rRNA from 1 species
UACGUAGGGUGCGAGCGUUGUCCGGAAUUAUUGGGCGUAAAGAGCUCGUAGGCGGUUUGUCGCGUCUGCCGUGAAAGUCCGGGGCUCAACUCCGGAUCUGCGGUGGGUACGGGCAGACUAGAGUGAUGUAGGGGAGACUGGAAUUCCUGGUGUAGCGGUGAAAUGCGCAGAUAUCAGGAGGAACACCGGUGGCGAAGGCGGAUCUCUGGGCCGAUACUGACGCUGAGGAGCGAAAGCGUGGGGAGCGAACAGG